rnacentral:rRNA from 1 species
AUGGUGCUCUUUGAAGCAAAAGUGUGGAAAAUGAUAGUAGCAUUGCCCCUUCUCUUUUUUUUCUCAUUUAUUUUUAUUCUAUUUUUUUAUUUGGGCCUUUUCUUUUUUUAUGGCCUCUUUUUUUUCCUUUUAUUUUUAUUUUUCAUUCGGAGUCUCAUCCCGACUUGUGGGGGAAUCAUAGUCUCCAUCAUCCUUCCCUCACUGGGACAAUGCUCUAAUAAUGAAGAUCAUCACACUUUUAUUUACUUACAACUCAAGAACUACAACUCGAUACUUAGAACAAAAUAUGACUCUAUGUGA